rnacentral:rRNA from 1 species
AUUGAACGCUGGCGGCAGGCUUAACACAUGCAAGUCGAGCGGGGGAAGGUAGCUUGCUACUGGACCUAGCGGCGGACGGGUGAGUAAUGCUUAGGAAUCUGCCUAUUAGUGGGGGACAACAUCUCGAAAGGGAUGCUAAUACCGCAUACGUCCUACGGGAGAAAGCAGGGGAUCUUCGGACCUUGCGCUAAUAGAUGAGCCUAAGUCGGAUUAGCUAGUUGGUGGGGUAAAGGCCUACCAAGGCGACGAUCUGUAGCGGGUCUGAGAGGAUGAUCCGCCACACUGGGACUGAGACACUGCCCAGACUCCUACGGGAGGCAGCAGUGGGGAAUAUUGGACAAUGGGGGGAACCCUGAUCCAGCCAUGCCGCGUGUGUGAAGAAGGCCUUAUGGUUGUAAAGCACUUUAAGCGAGGAGGAGGCUACUUUAGUUAAUACCUAGAGAUAGUGGACGUUACUCGCAGAAUAAGCACCGGCUAGCUCUGUGCCAGCCGCCGCCGUAA